CCUACGGGUGGCAGCAGUGGGGAAUAUUGGACAAUGGGGGGAACCCUGAUCCAGCCAUGCCGCGUGUGUGAAGAAGGCCCUCGGGUUGUAAAGCACUUUCAGUGAGGAAGAACGCCUGGUGGUUAAUACCCAUCAGGAAAGAGAUCACUCACAGAAGAAGCACCGGCUAACUCCGUGCCAGCAGCCGCGGUAAUACGGAGGGUGCGAGCGUUAAUCGGAAUUACUGGGCGUAAAGCGCGCGUAGGUGGCUUGAUAAGCCGGUUGUGAAAGCCCCGGGCUCAACCUGGGAACGGCAUCCGGAACUGUCAAGCUAGAGUGCAGGAGAGGAAGGUAGAAUUCCCGGUGUAGCGGUGAAAUGCGUAGAGAUCGGGAGGAAUACCAGUGGCGAAGGCGGCCUUCUGGACUGACACUGACACUGAGGUGCGAAAGCGUGGGUAGCAAACAGGAUUAGAUACCCGAGUAGUC
rnacentral:rRNA from 1 species